rnacentral:rRNA from 1 species
UACGUAGGGUGCGAGCGUUAAUCGGAAUUACUGGGCGUAAAGUGUGCGCAGGCGGCCGCGCAAGUCGAGUGUGAAAGCCCCGAGCUUAACUUGGGAAUUGCGCUCGAAACUACUUUGCUGGAGUGUGGCAGAGGAAGGUGGAAUUCCACGUGUAGCGGUGAAAUGCGUAGAGAUGUGGAGGAACACCAAUGGCGAAGGCAGCCUUCUGGGCCAACACUGACGCUCAUGCACGAAAGCGUGGGGAGCAAACAGG